UUUCUCGGGUGGCGAUCGUAAAUUGGUGGGUCUAUAAGUUAAAUGCAGAAAAAAAGAAAAAAAAGUUAGUAGAAUUAUCACGAAAAUGUAUUUAGAUGAUUAGUAGUGCCCGUCUUACUUGUUGGAUAGAGGUGAUCAGCUGAGUGAAUAAACUUUUCAAGUCCUGUUCCUCUAACCUCGCCUUUUCCUCAGGCCCAAGGAACGCCUCAAACAGUUUAGUUGCCAUCGAGAAAUCAUUCAGAAGAUCCACCACUAGAUGAAUAUCUACCACAACCCGGGGACACGGAGGAUUCAUAUCACAACCAGGAAUAUUGGCAAGCUCCAUCAUCUCCUGGUCACUUGAUGACACUCCAAAUGUCUCCAGACCACCGGUUGGAACCCAUGCAUGAAAGGUGAAGGCUUAAGAACUGUCAGUGAUUCAAUUGUACCCUUUUGAUGUCGGAGCAAACGAGAACUGAUCACUUCGACGUCAGGUUUGGUAAGAUCCGAAACCCUUCUCCUUUUUGUGGAGUCGGGUGUUGCAUAAUGGGAAAGCUCACGCCCAAUGUUGGCCCCACAUGUAGUAGGCAACCUCGAAAUGGGCUUUCGAUGGAAAAAACUGCAAGAAUCUUAAAAAUUAAGAAAAGGCAUCGAAAAUAUAAAACAAAACAAUAAAUAAAUAACCUUUAAGACGCUUACCGUGGUUUUUGUCCCUGGACUGGAGUGUUCUUGUAGACAUUUCCUCCAAAGGUUCGUUCAUAGGGGCUUUUCCACUUCGACGUUCCGGCAAUGCAAUUUCCUUUUCGCCCCUCUCUUCUUCAGAAGGAGGCAUCGGUGGGGGCUGUCCGACAAGGAUGUGGAAGAGGAAUGUUAGGAAGAAACAUAUUUAGCCAUAGAUUAGUGAAAUAUUUUAUUGCUAAAUUAUUGUAGUAAAAUAUCCACCUUGAUAGACGCAGGGUUUGUUGUGACAGAUUCUCCAUGUUAUUUUCUUGUAAAAUAUUGUUGUGGGUUAAAACUUUGAACCUGAUCAAAUGAAUGCAAUAAUUAUUAGCUUGUAAUUAUAUUUAUUAAUUUAGAUAAAAUAGUAAAGUUUUUGAAAAGUAAUAAUUUAUAUGCACUGAUAAAAUAAAAGGACGAAUAAACAAAUUUGAAUUAUAUAAUAUCGAUAAAAUAAGGAAAAUGGACACCGUUCCAUAGACUCCUUAAGACUCACAAUAGAAAUUGUUUAAAACAAGAGAAGGAAGGUGAUGUUUGAAUCAUAAAUAUUGAUAAAUAGUUAAAAUUAAAGAAAAUAAAAAGUACCUCUAUGUACAAUAAAGAUUUGAAGAAGAUGACUAGAGAAUGGGAGAUUGGGAAAAUUCUCAUUGCAUGCUUUUAAGUUAACGAUCUUAUAUUCAUGCCAUACUAAAAUUGAUAGAAAAAGUAAAUCUUGAGUUUAAUCACAUAUAUAGUUCGAUGACAGAAGCUAUCAGAUUUCUGGUUUAAUGCCAUACUAAAAUGCUAGAGUUAAACCCUGUUGUUCUUCAUAUAGCAAGAAAAAAACAAGGAAAAAAAUUUGUUAAAAACACAAGUGUUUGUAAGAUAAUUAUAAGCAAUAACAUAUAUUAUCUUCAUAAUUACAAGAGAAGCAUUAUGGAAUAUUUUCUUAAAAUACUCUUAUUAGUUAUACUUUGCAAAUCUAAAUUUGACUAGUAAAGAAUUGAAACGUCAGUUCUUCUAAUCUUAGUUGAUUAAAAAAUGUAUUCAGUUUGUAAGAUUUGGACACUUGUAACCAUUAAAAAAGGUUCUGAGAGUUGAACAUUAAAUCAAAAUCCAAGCACAAAUAUAAAGAGAAGUCUCUAUUUCAUAACAAAGGGCCCAAAGGGACCAAAAUACUUGCAACAAAAAAAUGAAGAAAUAAACUAGCAAAUGAUAAGAGGGGCUGGAAGGCCCAAAAGCCCUUGAAAACAUAACUGCUAGGCAUCAGGAUAAAGGGGGUGCAUCUGAGGCAUCUUCACUCUCAUCGUCUGAAAGACCCAGAGGGUCAUCACUCUCGGAGUCAUUUUCGGAUAGAGCCUGCUCCAGGGCUUCUCUCGCAGCAUUAGCAGCAGCUUCAGCUUCGGUGAUAGCCAUGGGAAGAUCAAGGUCUCCAUCUUGGAUCUCAAGAAGGGUGUCCACUCGGGUUUGUAGGGACACCCAGCAACUGUCCAAUUCAGCCACAUUCCUGUCAUUUCUACGCCUCACUUGCAGUGCAUUCAGCCUGGCCUGAAGUUGCGCUCUGUCCAUCUCAUUUUUAGUACGCAACUCAGCCAAAUCAGCCUCUAGGUUAGCCACCCUUUCCUGCAAGGCAUGGUUCCUAGAGUAAAGGUAAGCACGUACUUUCUCCCUUGAAGAGAGCUUACCAUGUAGCUCCAUUUGCCAGGCUUGCAGCUUCUCAUUCUCAGCCUGGAGCCCAGCAUUUUUUGAUUGGAGCUCACUUACCUCGGACUGGAGCACACCGACUGUGGAUUUUAGAUUCUCCACAUCACCAGAGUGGGCCAUAAGCUUAUGCAUAUGAUCUCUUGCUUUUUCUCGGGUGGCGAUCGUAAAUUGGUGGGUCUAUAAGUUAAAUGCAAAAAAAAGAAAAAAAAGUUAGUAAAAUUAUCACGAAAAUGUAUUUAGAUGAUUAGUAGUGCCCGACUUACUUGUUGGAUAGAGGUGAUCAGCUGAGUGAAUAAACUUUUCAAGUCUUGUUCCUCUAACCUCGCCUUUUCCUCAGGCCCAAGGAAUGCCUCAAACAGUUUAGUUGCCAUCG
rnacentral:lncRNA from 1 species